UUCCUGCCCUUUUUUGUGUGUUUGUGUGUAAGAUAUGGUAACAUAAGCAGAAUAUUGAUACGUCAAUCAGAAAUUUAUAUUUGUUUAUCUGAAGGAGGGUAAUUCUGGGAGUGCUCACUUUCUUAUUUUGUGAGGUCAACUGGAAAUAUUAUGUUGCUUUCCUAUGGAGGGAAUGGAGAUUUUUCAAAGGAGACAUGAUUAGUUUGAUGUUGGGUUCAACCAUUCAAAGAAGGUGGAAGUAAUUGACCAGUCCAUUAUUGCAGGUGAGGACUUGGUCAAUGCUUCUUUUUUCCUUUUUUUUUUCUGCUUUCUGUGGGUGCGUAAAUCGGUAAAUAUGUCUUUUUCAUUGUGGUUGAUAUUUUUCCUCUUCUAUUGUCAGUCUUAUUUACAUAUGAGAAUUGCUACCUGAAACUUUGGGAUCAGAGGACUUUAGUUUGAAUUCAGUUGUGAUUGGUGACUAAUGAUGGUGAUGGAAGUUUGGAGUUGGUGCUAUUAUUAAAGCUUGAUCCAAUGGUUUUGGUUAGCCAGUACCAUUACAAAGCAUUUAGGAGCUGCUUUUUUCUUUUAAAAAAGAAAACUACAAUGUGUAUAUUAUAAGCUCAUUCCUAAUAGUGCUUUAGGAAUAAGGCAGGUUAGAUGUUGCCUAAACAUUUAUAUUUUAGAAUUUAAUAUUCCAAGUAUUCUAUUAACCUAAUUUGUUUUUAA